GGUCUCGUGGUGUAGCGGUAAUCACAUCUGCCUAACACACGGAAGGUCGGCGGUUCGAGCCCGCCCGAGAUCA
rfam:Caenorhabditis remanei strain PB4641 contig296.15, whole genome shotgun sequence.